AUUGAACGCUGGCGGCAUGCCUUACACAUGCCAGUCGAACGGCAGCACGGGUGCUUGCACCUGGUGGCGAGUGGCGAACGGGUGAGUAAUACAUCGGAACAUGUCCUGUAGUGGGGGAUAGCCCGGCGAAAGCCGGAUUAAUACCGCAUACGAUCUACGGAUGAAAGCGGGGGACCUUCGGGCCUCGCGCUAUAGGGUUGGCCGAUGGCUGAUUAGCUAGUUGGUGGGGUAAAGGCCUACCAAGGCGACGAUCAGUAGCUGGUCUGAGAGGACGACCAGCCACACUGGGACUGAGACACGGCCCAGACUCCUACGGGAGGCAGCAGUGGGGAAUUUUGGACAAUGGGCGAAAGCCUGAUCCAGCAAUGCCGCGUGUGUGAAGAAGGCCUUCGGGUUGUAAAGCACUUUUGUCCGGAAAGAAACCCUUGGCCCUAAUACGGUCGGGGGAUGACGGUACCGGAAGAAUAAGCACCGGCUAACUACGUG
rnacentral:rRNA from 1 species